rnacentral:lncRNA from 1 species
AACUCUUUUUCUAUUAUUAUUUGUUUUUUCUUCUCUUUUCUUUUCUUUUCUUUUCUUUUUUUUUUUACAUCCACAUUUACACCAAGUACAAAUUAUAAAAAAAAAAACUCAAAAUUACACAAAUAUUACAUUACACAAUUUGAAAAUUACAAAAUAAUCCAAAAAAUCAGGAAAAACAACUCUGGGAUGCAUUCUGGGUCUGCCUGAACAGUAGCGGCGCAUCUCCCCACGCGCCUCCGCCAUUGGCGGCGCGUGGAUUCACGCGCCGCUGCUGACAAUGACCGGAAAUGGGCAGAUCUGCCCUGCUUUCUUCUUCCCUUCCCUUCUCUGCUGGCUGUGAGAACCACAGUUACCUGCAAAGGUAAAAACACACAUGCAAAGCUUCCGAUUCUUUUUCCCUUUUUUUUUUUAGAUCUACGCUCUCUUGUCUUCUCCUUUUGGUUUUCUGUUCUUCCCUUCUGCAGGUGGCGGACGGCUCUGAGGUCAGGGUGUCUCUGUGAGCGGCUGGAGGAAGGUGAGCAGCGGCUGGUUUCUGUGGGCGCCGCCGUAUGGGGGCUGUCGCUGGAGGGCAAAUCUGCGAACGCUGCUGGAGGGAGAAGACGGACCGCUCCGAGUCUGUGGGCGAUGCUGCUGCUGACGGCGAAGACCAGGAAGAAGACAGCGGGGGCUGACGUUGUGUUCGGCUUGAGGAAGAGAGCUUGUCCGUGGGUGAGGGGGGAGUGAGCGGCUGCUUAGGUGAGGGGGGAGUGAGCUUGUCCGUGGGUGAGGGGGGACGGCGGCUGUCUUCAACAGGGAAAGGGAGGCUUCGGCUGAGGGGAGAAGACUGGGGUCCGUCUGGUCAGAAGAGGAAGGUCGGCUGAGGGAGAAGAGAAAAAAUCAAAAAAGGGGGGGGGGCUGGCCAGGCGGCGACUGCCUUCUGGUGAGGGAGAGAAAAAGCUAAGCUUUUAGGGUUUGUGUUUUUUUGUGUUGCCUCUCCCCCAAAUCUCAAAAUGGCCCCCCUUUGGUUUUGAGUUUUGGACCUAUAUUUAUAGGUAAAAUGUUGUCCGGACUCAAAAUUGGUCCUUCAAUUUUUUUUUUUGUAAAUUUUGAUUUUUCUUGUUUUUUCUUGUAUUUUUAAAAACGAGCAAUAUCAACGUUGACUCAAAGAGAAAAAUCAAGGAUUUUAAAAACAACGCGUGAAAAUUCGAACGCAUUCGAAAACUUCUGAAAAUUUAAAUUUUUUUUUAGACGACGUUGAAAAUGCUAAAAACGAUGCAAAUAUAUAAAAACAUAUUUUUUUGGAUUUUCGUUGUUUUUCGCUAUUUUUGGAUUUUUUCAAAACUUUUAUCAAAUAGGUGGGUCAAAAAUUGAGUAGCAACAGAUGCCCCCUCUUUACAAUGCUUACGAAGCAAAAUUCCUCAAUGUUUUGCAUAGUAAGCUUUGUAAAGAAAAGAAAAAGAAAAUGAUCUCAUUAUCUUGGGCAACUGCCCCUUUUAAAGAAAAAGUGGUCUAUUUUCACGGGCGACCUGCCCACACAUACUCAUUAUGGUCUAUUUUUAGGGGCGACCUGCCCACACACUCACACGGGUCUAUUUUCACGGGCGACCUGCCCACACAUACUCAAAGUGGUCUAUUUUCACGGGCGACCUGCCCACACACUCACACAAUGGUCUAUUUUCAAGGGCGACCAGCCCACACAUACUCAAAGUGGUCUAUUUUCACGGGCGACCUGCCCACACACUCACACUGGUCUAUUUUCACAGGCGACCUGCCCACACAUACUCAAAGUGGUCUAUUUUCAAAGGCGACCUACCAUUUUGAUUGGGUUUACCUGAGAUCCCAUCUGGCGAUCUAACAAGAACAAAAAUUGGUGUGUAGCUCGGUCAACCUGAAAUCCCAUCUAGCGAUUCCCUUUAACCAAAGCUAAAUUCUGCAUGGUUAGGCUAAACUGAGAUCCUUUUGCCGAUCCCCUUUAACCAGAACCAAAACUCUUGUGUGCGAUUAGGAUAGACUGAGAUUCCUUUCGCCAAUCCCCUCUAACCAGAACCGAAACUCUUGUAUGGUUAGGAUAGACUGAGAUUCCUUUCGCUAAUCCCCUCUAACCAGAACCAAAAUCUAUGUGGUUGGGCUGAACUGAGACCCCUUCGCCGAUCCCCUUCAACCAGAACCAAAACUCCUGUGUGCGGUUAGGAUAGACUGAGAUUCCUUUCGCCAAUCCCCUCUAACCAGAACCGAAACUCCUGUAUGGUUAGGAUAGACUGAGAUUCCUUUCGUCAAUCCCCUCUAACCAGAACCAAAAUCUGUGUGGUUGGGCUGAACUGAGACCCCUUCGCCGAUCCCCUUCAACCAGAACCAAAAUCUGUGUGCGGUUAGGAUAGAUUGAGAUUCCUUUCGCCAAUCCCCUCUAACCAGAAUCGAAACUCCUGUAUGGUUAGGAUAGACUGAGAUUCCUUUCGCCAAUCCCCUCUAACCAGAACCAAAAUCUGUGUGGUUAGGCUGAACUGAGACCCCUUCGCCGAUCCCCUUCAACCAGAACCAAAACUCCUGUGUGCGGUUAGGAUAGACUGAGAUUCCUUUCGCCAAUCCCCUCUAACCAAAACCAAAACUCCUGUAUGGUUAGGAUAGACUGAGAUCAGAACCAAAAUCUGUGUGUGUAGCUCGGUCUACCUGAAAUCCCAUCUGGCGAUUCCCUUUAACCAAAGCUACGUGAGAUCCCAUCUGGCGACCUCCUUUAACAAAAACCAAAAAAUGUAAAAAGUGGUCUCAUUGUAAUGGGUGACCUACCCAGAUGAAAGAAUGUUAAAAACGGUCUCAUUAUGAUGGGUGACCUACCCAAGUGGAAAAAAUGAUGGUCUCAUUGUGAUGGGUGACCUACCCAAAGAAAGAUGGUCUCAUUAUGAUGGGUGACCUACCCAGAGAAAGAUGGUCUCAUUAUGAUGGGUGACCUACCCAGAUGGAAAAAUGUGACUUACCUGGCAAAAAGACUUGGCUGGAGAAGUCUUGACAGGAUAAGGUUGACAAACUGCGCUUCCUGAUUACAGGGUUGACUUGAAGACCCCUCUUGAUGACAGGGUUGAUCUCCUCGUUUCUUUGAGAUUCCCCUACUAGCAGGGUUCAUCUCAUUCUCUUCUCGUUCCAGGAUCUAAACCAAUUCUUUGUUAUCAUCAACUCAAUGAUUCUUUCUUUGUCCACAAUCUUGCUGGACUUCAUUGAGGAUCUUCCUGUAACAAUCACAAGUAUGUGCAGUGCUUUGAGGUUAGAUGGCAUGCAUGCAUCCUUACCUGAUUUGAAAUAUAGGUCCCCCCCUCUUUGAUGAUCCAUUGUUAUGAGGUGCCUUUGUUUGCAUUCCAAAGCUUUCUUUGUUCUUUCGAUGCAUUUGCGUGCUAGCCUUCUACUCAAAUGCAAGUACAAUGCCCAUCUUAGGCUGUCCACGGUGAUUACUACUCUCGUUGUUUAUCAAGCUGGACUCUGCCCCCAAGUGUGGUGUUGCUUGAUUCAUCAUGAAGGAUUUUCUCUUUUGGAUUCUUCUAAGAAUUAUCCUCUGAUUGGUUGUGUGCAUCAUGCCAACACCCAUCAAAAUGGUCAAUCAAUCAUGAACUUACUUCCAGCUAAAACAAUACUUUUCAAGUAUAUGUUAUCAUCAACCUUCUUGGAACUGUCAGGUCAUCCAGACAUGGAUCUCAUACCUUGCAGUAAAAGCCUCAUCGUUGUUAGCUCAAUGUUUUUCUCCAUGGAUUCCUCUCAGUUUGUCAAAUCAAAUCAUGAAAGGAAAUGCAUUGGCAUCAUCAAUGAUGUUCAUCACCCAUAUUCAUGCAGUGAAGUGCGCAUUUGAGCUUCAAAACAAAUGGUCCCACAGUCAAUCUUAGUGGGUGCAUCCUUCCAACAUUCAUUCAAAUGCAACAAUGUGAUAACAUCGCUCAAAAGUCAUAGCCAUGUUGGAGAUGAUAAACCAAAAUGAAGAUAUGAAAAUAUCCUUCAAGUGCAGCGUUGCCCAUUAAUUGCUGCUGAAGUUCACUAAAUCAUGGAUUGUCUUUGAACAACAUUGCCCCCAAUAUGAUCUGAACAUGCUCAUUCUUCUUUCUAUAACCAAAUGGCUUUUGUGAUCGCUAAGAAUGACUUUGAUGGACUUCGCCAACUCAUCGUUCGAUUCUUUCUCUGCCCCCAGCUGAUCUGAAUACCUUUUGUUUUCCUUCUCAGGGUCCACUGUAUUGACCCAGGUGGUCAACUUUUCAAGGAGUGUCAAGAAGUGUUGAUGUCAUUCUUGUCAAGGAUUUUGCAAACUCGAUCGAUAUUCUUCUUAUUUGACAAUCUUUCUAUUCUGGAAUCAACUCUCAUACUCCAAAGAUCAUGUCUAUCCAAAGUCUAGUUGUUGGAAUGAAAUCAGAGAGAUGUCAAUUUUGAAAAGUAUUUUUGGAAAUCAAGCUUGUUUGGUCAAAGAUCCAACACACGUUAUUCAAUGUAGUCCUUUGAUUGUCGUGUAUUUUGAAAACAGAAAUGACCCGUUGUAAGAUUAAAAUGACUUUUUUCAUGGUUCUUUGUGUCAGUUUUAAUCUUUGAUCUUUGGGUAUACCUUUCGAUGGUCUACGAUGAGGUGACCUUCUGUGAAUUUCAAGAAACAAAAGGCUCAAGUCAAAACUUGAGGAUUCAUCAAGAAAGAUUGUUUUCUUUUUUUUAGCACCAAUUUUAUCAGCAUGCAUAAUAACCAGUAGCUUAAUCCAUGAAGUCACGACCCUUAUGGAAAAGCUCUUCAAGUUUUGAGAGCGCCAUUUAUCAAUUCAAAUUGCUUGCUUGAUUAAAAAGGGCUUUUAAAAGCACGUAAUGCAGGCUAUGGUUCAUGGCUAUGAAAGAAAGGAAUUUCACAGGCUCAAAUGGUGUUUAAGGGUUUCAAAGACCCAGGAUCAACAUCAACUAUUCACCAACUUGUUUUCUAUUGUUGUCUUUGUAGAGGAAACGACAUAUAACCUUGUUAAUCUCAAAGAUCAGACUUCUCUUAACAUAAGUCAUAAUGCAAAUCCACCUUUCCUUAAUGAAUAACCAACCUUAAUCAUCUGAUAACAUCAUAGGCUUGAUAAUGGAAACCAAAAGUCACGUUUAUAGCUUAGUCUUUUUUCUGGUGUUGACUUUUGUUGUGUCUUUCCUUGAUUGAAAUUUCUUUUGCCCUUCCUAGACUUGAUAGGCGUUCUCCUUCCUUUAUCUUUGACUUGCCUUUAAACGAAGGCAAUUUCAACUUCUUCUUUUUUUCAAUUCUUUUUUUUUUCUUUUUUUUUCUUUUUUGUUUUCUCAUAGCCUUCCUCAAAAUUUCUUAUAUGCCCCCAGUCUAUGUGUUUUCUUUUAGCCCUCUCUCAAUCAUUGGACUUUUGUUCUAAGCCUUCCCCUUUAUCCAUUAAUUAUAUCAAUGUCUCCAACAUAUCUCUCAUCUGCCCCCAGUGUGGGGUGUGAUCCAAGUCAGGGUUUUUAUGAAAAGAAUAUUCUAUCCAGCUCAAAAUGGGACUACAAGGGAUAUAAUCUUUAGAAAGUGAAGGGAUAUCAAAGAUGGCCUUUUCUCAUUUCAAGCAAGGUCGGUUAGAACCGAUCAAUUUUGACCCCAUCCGGUGUAAUGAUUGGGACUUGUAAGAAUUAUGAUUCACGAGUCCAUAACUACCGAAUCCACUACAUGUUAUUAUGCAUACUGCUAAAACUUAGCUAUAUGAUGUGUGGUUCAGUUUCAGGAGGUAUGAGUUCAAAAUUGUUUAGUCACCUCAUGUCAUUUUCAAGCAUCGAGUCAUUUCUGUAAUCAAAACACUUUUAAUCUUCCGGAUUGAUUAACCUUUAUCGCAUGUUGGAGUUUGAUCAAAAUAUUUUGUCAGAAUGAAAUGCUAAACAUCUUUGGAUUUCAAAACAACAAAGAGACAAAAACAAGACAUGUUUCGUUAAAGGAUGAGAUGUGAUCCCAAAACAAAAUGCAGAAUUCCAUAACAAUAUGAUUGACAAUUCAUCGCCAUUCUUGAAUCAGCUUUUCUGGCAAUAUCUGUGUUUUGCCAAGCACUUUCGAUCACAUGUCAUUCUGAAGAUGUUCGGGGGAUAAUAUAGCCAAUGACACUCUCCUUCACAAACUCUACUUGUCUCUUGCUCACUGACUUCCGGACUCGCUUCUUGAAAUUCUUGCAACUGUUCCAGUAAAUGGCUGAGUACCCCACCAUGACAUCACAUCUCUUGUUCGGAUUAUACCACCUAAAAAAUGGUAGUUGCAUGGGAUUUGUCGGAGUCAAGCAAAAAUCUGGAAUCUGGCAGAUGCUGGUAAAUAAACUCACAUGACAACUGUUCAAUUGAAAUUCUUGCAGCAAUUCCAUUGAAAUGGCCGAGGACCCCACCAUCACAUCACAUCACAUCACAUCUCUUGUCUGGAUUAUACCACAUGGCAAAUGAAUGUCUAUCUUUGGCAAAGACAUUGGAGUAGUCGAUGAUACAACGAGACUUGGCUAGACCACAUAAUUAAGGUUUCCCACCGUCAGAGUCUUCCUUUGAUUCAUCUCUCAUCAUUGUUCUGGAAUCCUUGGCAGAACCUUCAAUCUUUCCCAUCUUGAUAGCUUGUUCAUUUUUUUGGCAAUUCAUACAACUUCAUGUCAAUCUUCCAAUGUUAUUGUUGUUGUUUUAGGAUUGUUGGAAACCUCUCAAUAGCUAAGGAAUCCUGGUAGUGCAUAAAAACAAAAACGUGUGGAAUCACACAUUGUCAAAACUGGAAGAGAGCCCGAUGAAUCUAAAGCUCCUCUAUCUCCUCUUCGAUUCCUCACAGACAAUGGAACAAACAGACAUCUGUAAAGGGAGUUCUGCUCUGUUAAAGUUUCAGUCUUCUUCAUGUUGUUUAGUCCAGGUUUGUCUUUUCUCCCUUCUUUUGCGUUGUAAUGUCGAUACUGGUAGGGGAAAAUUGUGGACAAUCUGAAACCACUGCAUCCCUUCUUGGGUUUCCCACUUGCAGACCCAUAAACAGAUUUCUGCUGAGAAAGCUCUGCCACGUUGAAGUUUGAUGUCUACUCAUGUUUUUCAGACUAGAUCUGACUCUUCUCCCUGCUACAAUGUUUUGCUGGUGCCACUGGUGGGAGAAAUUUUCAAAGCAUGUGAAACUACUACAUCCCCUCUUGCAUUCCCCACAAAUAAAUCUUUACAGAGAGCUCUGCAACGUGGAAGUUCAGUGUCUAAUCCUGUUGCUGAACUGGAAUUGAGCUCACAAUUGUGGUAACUUUAAAGAAGACUAAUGCACCAUGCAUAUGAGGCUAGUAGUUAUUUGGUUCCAUUAAAAGAUGUGGAGGCGAUGAAAAAUUAACAGUGCAACUGAACAAGAGCAAAGGUUGUCAUUAGCUGAUGACUAAAAGCAUUGUUGUUGCUGUUCAUGACUGAAAAGGAGAGGUACAGCUUCAAUUAGACGUGAAUAAGCAGUGUUCCCACAGAAGACUGUGCAGACAUUCUCUUUCCAUUUGAUGCUCAACACUUGUUCGAGCAAAUCUGAGUCUAGCUACUUCACCUUUGAUGCUCUCAACCUCAAUCUGAUAAUGAGCCUCUAUCCAUAAUCUUUCUUCCCUUCCAUCAUCUUUCUUCCAUCACGUGCAGCACAGCUUGUGCGAGGGACCUACCUUUCAACCCGGUACAUGCAUGAUAAAUGUAUGAAUAUGUAAUCUAUAUGACGAACUCGCCCUUCGAGGGGUGACAUAUGAUCGCAACUCUUGCAUGAUGAAACAAGAAUCUUGAUUCUUGCACAAACUCUACAAUGAAAAUUUUCUGAGCGACGAUCAUUGUGUCACCCAUAAGUCUGGAGUUCAAGAUGCUUCAAGAAGGGCUUGCUUGGAUGCAAAACAAUGUCUACGGAGCAUACAUCCUAAAGACAGUUCUAAUCCUUUUUAAGUGGGACAAAAGGUAGGUUUACUACUUGGUCUCUAAAAAGGGUCUCUCGUUGUCCCAGUGAUUACCCUCUUGAAGGCAAUAUAGGGGCUUGUAGGCAAUGAGAUGGCACGUGUCCAACUAUUACCAGUCUAAGCACUCAACGAAGAGUUGGGGUUUACACAAACUUAAACCUUGACUAAAAUCAUAAGGUAAGCUGCUAGUCCCCCUCCUAACCUGAAGCUUGUGUGUGCUUUAAAAAAUUACACUAUGUGAUGCAUGAGACAAUUCUACAAAAUGCAUGGAUAAAACAAAAAUAAAAUAGGACAAAAUUGUAAAAACAUAAACGCAUCAAAAACACAAAGCUUAGUCCAAUAAUGUUGAAAACAAUACCUUCCCCAGUGGAGUCGUCAUUCUGUCGCACGUCCGAAAAUCCGCGCGGCAUCGGGCUUGACGACUUUUUCGUCUUCUCGUUUGCUUUGAUUACAUCGUUAGGAGUCGCCACCUAGUAUUUAAUUGAGGGCUACUAGGAAACCCGGGUGUACUGGUCUCGUCAGAGAUUCAUGGGUAAGGGACUGGUUGUGGUUAGGGAAGGUAUUAGCACCCCUAACGCACCCUACCUGAGGUAAGCUGCUUCGUGGACUUGAUGUGUUAAAGAAGUUUUAAAAUUCGGUUCAUUCAUCGAAUUUUAGAAAAUACAACUUACACUUACAUGUAAGUUCAUAAUUCUUUAUCCGUGAGCAAAUCAGAAUAUUAAAUUCUUCUUUAUUCUCGCAAUUUUAUCCUAAAAAAAACAUUCAUAAACAAAAUACACACCACACAUUCACUUUCAAGCUUCGUGGACUUGAUGUGAUUUAAAAAAUAAAAUUUUAGCCCAAUUCUAAGGCUUUGAUAAAUCAGUUAUUACUUCCCAAAAUAUAUGUAGAUACAUGUUCUAUAUUUUUAUGGAAAAUACAACAUGAUUUUUAUCUGUCCUUUAGAUAUUUGUGCAUAUAAAUUAAAAUAUUAAAUUCAUUUUUUUUUAUUCAAUAACAUACCUAAAAAACAAUACAAACACACACACAACUCUUUUUCUAUUAUUAUUUGUUUUUUCUUCUCUUUUCUUUUCUUUUUUUUUUUCUUACAUCCACAUUUACACCAAGUACAAAUUAUAAAAAAAAAACUCAAAAUUACACAAAUAUUACAUUACACAAUUUGAAAAUUACAAAAUAAUCCAAAAAAUCAGGAAAAACAACUCUGGGAUGCAUUCUGGGUCUGCCAGAACAGUAGCGGCGCGUCUCCCCACGCGCCUCCGCCACUAGCGGCGCGUGGAUUCACGCGCCGCUGCUGACAAUGACCGGAAAUGGGCAGAUCUGCCCUGCUUUCUUCUUCCCUUCCCUUCUCUGCUGGCUGUGAGAACCACAGUUACCUGCAAAGGUAAAAACACACAUGCAAAGCUUCCGAUUCUUUUUCCCUUUUUUUNNNNNN